AGAGAGGGGAAGCAGCAGCCCUGGAGACGUUCGGCCGCCUGAGAUCUAGCUCGCUAAAGGCACAGGGUCAGAGGGGAACUGGGAAGGCAGUUUUCGCGCGGACUCUGUAACCUUGAGGCUCAUUAUAAAAUAGACUGGAAGGGAAAGGUUGGUGUAGGGAGCUUGGCUGGACAGGGCAGUUUCUCUUUCAUUCUUUAUCCAGACUCACAGACGCGCAAACUAUAUUGCAGGCAGUCACUGGACUCCCAGGGCUAACCUCUUCAAGGUUGCUUCAGAGCUGUACCAUAACUACAGGCUCUCUACAUCAGCUUCUGGGCUGUUUUUAGCAGUACUCUUCAAUGAUUCACAAGAUGGUGGCUUUGCUUUCUAGACACACGUGGUACAACCCACUCACUGGCUCCAUUGCACCUGCCUGGGUGACUGACCUUAAGGGAAAAAAAAAAAAAAAACUCAUAGAUGCUCAAGCCAGCUGCCCUUGCUAUAGCUUUCUCCUUGGUUUUCUGCACAUGGGCAUUGAAUAAAUUCUAGUGGGUCCCAAUCCCCAAAUUCUCUAA
rnacentral:sRNA from 1 species